rnacentral:lncRNA from 1 species
CCCUGUCCAAGAGCAGAGACAGGGAGACUGGCUUAAAAAUAAAGGCACUGAAGACUCGUCCACAAACAAUUAUUUAUUAAGGAUCUGUAAUAUUCAGGGAUACUUCUCUGUGAGGGGCCUGGACUGAAUACCUAUAUUCAGCUGUUUUUCAUUUUUUAAAAGAUUUUAUUUAUUUGAGAGAGAGGGAAAGAGAGAGAGAAAGAGAAUGAGCAGAGGUCCAAUGCAGGACUCGAUCCCAGGACCCUGGGAUCAUGACCUGAGCCAAAGGCAGACGCUUAACCAACCAAGCCACCUAGGUGCUCGCUCCAUUUUUCAUUUUUAAAAGCCAAUGGAAGCCCAUUUGGGUCAGGUAUUCCACUCCCUUGUAUUGUGGUUGAGGAGAUUGAGAGCCCAAGAAAUGAAGUGACUUUUUCAGGGUGAUAUAAAUAAAUUGGGAUUAAUAUCUAAGCCUUCUAGAUGCUUUGAUGCCCUUGGUUCUGAGGCAUUUUCUUUUUAUUUUUUAUAGAUUUUAUUUAUUUAAUCAUGAGAGACAUAAAGAGAUGCGGAGACACAGGCAGAGGGAGAAGCAGGCUCCCUGCGGGGAGCUGGAUGUGGGACACCAUCCCAGGACCCCUGGAUCACGACCUGAGCAGAAGACAGAUGCUCAACCACUGAGCCACCCAGGUGUCCUGGUUCUGAGGCAUUUUAGCAUGGAUUUUACCACCUCUUUGGUUGUGAAGACUGACUCCACUUCCCUAGAAGUUUGGGGAAUCAUUGGCCUUUCUACCUCACUAUUCACACAACUCCUUGGUGAUGAUCAUGAUGUCUCUGAGGAAGACUCCUUGGUAUUCUUCACUGGGUGACUUCUGCCUCAUAACACACCUGUCUUCAAAUUGCUGCCCAGGCCAAGAUCAUGCUAAUACAAACUUAGCUAUGAACUAUGAGCACACAUCAUGAGUGGAGAUCUGUACCAAGGAUUCAGUCUUCACAACAGCCCUAUGAAGAAGAAUUCAUUUGGCUUCUCUUUCCUUCUCGAGUUUCAUUUCCCCCAAAUAACUAAAUGUUCUCUAUUAGUGGAAUCAAAACAAUGAUUUGUCUUCAGGGCAAAGCCAUAUUAACAAUUCAAAGCAAACUUCGAUUCUAGCAAAGAUUCAUAUUACUAUUCUUUCCACAAAUCUUUUAAUUGUACCUAUAGCCAUAGGCGAGUUAUUAAUGCUCUCUGGGUAUUGAAGGCUUCCAUAUCCUAUUCUGUGUUCUCAAUCAGAAUAGAUGGUAAGCCCCCCAUGAUGCACAGCUCCAGGGGGUCACCAUUUAAAUCUUAGUUUAUAUGGAUGAUGCAAGAAGUGACAUCAUAUUCAACCUGGACUGCAUUCAAC